AAUAUAAUAACCAAAAAAUAUAAUCUAACCAUGCUUAAUGAAAUAUAAACAUACCAAAAUAUAAAUAAUCAUGUUUAGAAUCACUGACCAAUUGUAGAAAGCGAAACUUGCAUCUUGACCGCACGAUGAAUCUAUUCGAUUGCAUAGCCUUGAAAAAAAUAUAAUGUUAGUCAAAAUGGAAUAAUAAAUAAGCAAAUAACAAGAUAACAUCAAGAAUGAAGAACCAUCUAGACAUCUACAUAAUUAUUAUGUAAUCAUGAGAUUCAUAAACUAAUUUACUAAGUUGAUAUUUAGUAGUUACGAGCCAUAUCAAUAUCCGUAAACAAACAUAAGCUAAUCACCAGUCAACCAAGUUUCAAAAACAACAAACAGUUCAUAAUUCGUAAAUAUUCGAAGAGCAAAUCCAAAAGAAAGAAAAAGCAAAGACUAAAUUAAUCUUCAUCGGAGCUGAACGUUGGAAUAUUAUCCAUGCCCUCAUCCGAAUCGCGCUCCGAAGAUUCCAUGUCUUCCUCAUCUUCCAAAGGCUCCUUUCUCUUUGAUGAACAUUUCCUAGACUUGUCUUUCUUUUAUAUUGCUUUGUUCUACCACUCUCUCUUUUUAGGAUUAGCUCCAAUGAUAUCUCUAUAUUGCUUCCAAGUUACCAUAUAUAUAAGUUUGCUUAAAAAUUAGUUUGCUAUAAACUAACUGUAGUGAAAAAUAAUGUAAUCAGAAUAUCAAAGGAAGAGAAGAAAUGAAAUUGAAGAGAAAAAGUCAAAAAACAACUAAGCAAUGAGUAGAUACCUGUUCGAUGGAGUUCGAAGAGGAGCGGAGCGCCAACGGUGAAUGUUGGAGUCAGUGGAGGCGAGCUUCGAGGUCAAGGAGACGAACGACGUCAACAGAGGUGAGCUCCGAGGUCAGGGAGGCAAUCGACGUCAGCGGAGUUAAGCUGCGAGGUCGAGGAGGCGAUCGUCGUCAGCGGAGUUGAACUUAGAGGUCGGGGAGGCGAACGACGUCGGCGGAGGUGAGCUUUAAGGUUGAGGAGGCGAGCGACGUCAGUAGACGUGAGCUUCGAGGUUGGGGAGGCGAGCGACGAGGUCAACAGAGUUAAGAGGGGAGUAGAGAUCUUGAGCUCGAUGGAGUUCGAAGAGGUUCAGAGAACAGCCACACAUAGAGGGAGAGAGAUUCACGAAGGAUUAUGGCUAAACUUGAAGUUAGAAACUUCAUUUUAUUGUCAAAAGCGGGUCAGGUCGGGUUUAAGAACACACUAAGUUACAGCCCAUUACCCAACAAUUCAACUCAAAAUUCAUGCUGAUAAAGCCGAUAUUUUUAGCCUCCCUUAUCGGUCGAUAAGUGUCUUUAUCGCCGAUAACUCGCCGAUAAACCCAUAAAAACGAUAACCGAUUUAAAAAUCCUACUUAUCCUAGCGGAAAGCUCUCAAAUCCGAUAACUUGGCAAUAAUAUCGGAUUAUCGGCUGAUAUUUAAAACCAUGUUAACAACAACGUCAAUUGAGAAAGACCUAGGUCAACAAUAAGCCAGACAUAAUACAUGCUAGACUGAAUGAGGAAGGAUGUAAGUGGUUUUUCUGAAUGAUGGGCUUGCCAAUGAUACCAACAUAAAUAUAGUACAUCCCUAUUAGAUAGUGGUUGUGGUUUAGUUCCAUUAGCUGUUUGUUCUUACGAAUUUUUUCUCAUGUAAUUUGUUCUCUGAAUUAUCAACGUCAAUCAGUUGUUGAAGUUUACUUUUUACUGUUUGCAUAUUUUUCUGUAUGCUUGCUAGCUUGCAUAUACUAGAAUACUGUGUUGUACAUUUCUUGAGCUUUGUGCUAUAAAGAUUUCCUAACUAUUUUUGUAUUUGUGUCCUUGUUGCAUGUACUAUGUGCGGGCAUACGAUCAGCAGAAUGCGUGUAGUUAUUGACCAUUUUUCUGUUUCCUUGUUGUCCAUGUUUCAGAAUCUUGUUGUUGCACAUCAUUAGCUUGCCGUGGAAGUGGACAUGACAGUUCUGUUAGAAUCUAGUCCUUUUAGCUAUUAAGAUGAUAUCGCGUGCUGUUUUCUUUUGAAUUUAGCUGAAUGAACUCAGAGAACAAAAAGAUAUUGGAUUCCGUUUUGUGAUGUUUAUGGGCAUUUUUGGUUGUCCAAGAUUCUUGCCAAAUGUGAAAGGAUAUAAUUUUGUAUGAUGGAAAAUAAUUCCUGUUAAUUUUCA